rnacentral:rRNA from 1 species
AACGAACGCUGGCGGCAGGCUUAACACAUGCAAGUCGAGCGCCCCGCAAGGGGAGCGGCAGACGGGUGAGUAACGCGUGGGAAUCUACCCAGUGGUACGGAACAACCCAGGGAAACUUGGGCUAAUACCGUAUAAGUCCUUCGGGAGAAAGAUUUAUCGCCAUUGGAUGAGCCCGCGUCGGAUUAGCUAGUUGGUGGGGUAACGGCCUACCAAGGCGACGAUCCGUAGCUGGUCUGAGAGGAUGAUCAGCCACACUGGGACUGAGACACGGCCCAGACUCCUACGGGAGGCAGCAGUGGGGAAUAUUGGACAAUGGGCGCAAGCCUGAUCCAGCCAUGCCGCGUGAGUGAUGAAGGCCUUAGGGUUGUAAAGCUCUUUCGGCGGGGAAGAUAAUGACGGUACCCGCAGAAGAAGCCCCGGCUAACUUCGUGCCAGCAGC